CCAAAAACAGAAACUUACACACCAGAAGUAAGUUCAACAGCAGUACAUCCAGAAACACGAGCCAUGCAGAUCAAGGAUUGGCAGCAACAAAUCCAAGAUCAGGAGGGAAGUCAGACAAUUCAGGCAGACUAGCAAACUGAUCUAUAAUUCCAGAUUCCAUUAACUCUUGUUCAACAACCACUCGAGUUACCUCAUCAGCUUUAGAAUCUAGGUCAUCACUUUCUUUUCUUAAACCCAUCUUUUCCUCAAUUUCAGCAAGCCUAGCACAGACUUUUAAGUGCUGAUUUUUAAGAUCUUUAAAAUUCUCUUUUGAUUCCUUAAGCAUUUUCUUUAAAAUUUCAGACUCUCUAAUAUAGUCAUGGUUGUGCAAACUGGUUGUGCUCCAUGUUAUAGAGCAAGGUUGGGUUGUAUUGUAUGUCAGGGUUAGGGUUAGGGUUUGGAAGAGGUUUGAAAUCCAUUUGGUGAAAAGUUAAAGUGAAAGUGAAAGUAUUUUUCUGGUGUGUGUGAAAGGGACAGAUGGGGGGUUAUAUAUGGAUAAAGGUGUAAGGUCUGUUUGGCUUUAGGGAAUAAGGAAUGAAAUUAAAUGUGGCAAGGAGAAUAAGGCAUGCAGACAGCCCGAAGUGCAUGUGUGUGCAUAUCUAAAUCAGUCCAUAUAAUACACACAUAAAGCAUAGAACUUUUGAAAAGGUAGUUGAGUAUAAAAGUAUGCUUCCUUAAAUGCAUAAGGACAGUUUUGAAAUGAUUUGUUUUGACUUAAAGAAAAUAUCUGUCCUUUUUGUCUCAUUUGUUUUAAAAACAGGGGGACAAGAUACUGUUUAUAAUGACAUCACUAACCCAUUUUGUCAAAACCUAUUUUUAGCUAGCGAUAGUCCACAGCAAGCAGGUCCAUUUUACAACUAUAUCACUUAGACAAAUAAUUUCAUACAUACAUCACAUAAUCUGUUCAAAAUUUUGUUCCAUGAUACCACAUACACAAGCCAUCCAAAUAUCCAGUAUAAAAAGAAUACAUUGAUCAGUCCAAAUUAAAAAAUCUAUCUUGACAGAUUAUAUUAGGUAAUGAAAAAUUGAUGUAAGUUCAGAAAAUUUAUCCAACUAUAGUUCCAGUUUAGAAAAACUCUACUUUUAUCAAACAAGUUUUAUUGUUCCAUAAAAUCCCAAUUUCUCCGUUUUCUCUUUAACUUAUGAAAAAUUACAAGCAAUCAAAUGCUCAAAUUACAAGCAUUUACAUAUAUAUAUCCAUCCAUAUUCAUCCAUCCACCAUUUUCAGCCUGCAAAAAUUCUUGAUAAAGAAGUCAGAAACUCAUCAACAUUAAUAAUGAAAGAAAAGUUUGCAAUUUCAGAGAGAAUAACAUGGCAAAUUAUACUCAGUUAUACAAAUAGCUAUCAUCAGAAAUAUGCAAUCAAUGGGUUUAAUGACAACAGACUUGUAAUAGUGUUCACAUAGAUAACAACUCUCAGGAUUAAUCAUUUAAAUAUUGAAAUAAAUGUACUAGGUUAUGUAAUCCAUCAAGUUAGCAAGUAAGCAUGGUUUAUAUGGAGCCAAGUAAGAUUAAAAAAUUUAAUACAGCCAAGGUGUUAACACAGGAUCAUAUAAAGAGGUUUUAGUCAUAUGAUUUACACAAAUAAAGUGAACUUAAAAUAUAAAAAAUCCACAUGUAUUUAAACAAUUUUAAUACCCAAUCAGUGGCAAAUUACCUAGGACAAAUUAAUGGCAGAUCAUGUGACUCAUAUAUAUCCAUACAAGCUUCAUAUUAGUAUAUAAUGUGACAAAUCAUAUUAUACAACCAGUUUUACCAUUCUUAACAGAAUACAGGUAAUAGCAGCUAAACGGACAGGGCAAGCAUGAUUUAACACAGAACAGAUUUUUUUUUUUUUUUAAUAACACCACAACUCAGAUUCUUAUCACAACAUAUUUUCAAUAUAAGAGAGCAUUGGCAUAUAGGGACAAAAGAAUCACACGUACUAUACUAUAUGCAGAUCGAUACAUGCAUAACAGAUUAAUAUAGAGCUCAACCAGGAUUAAUAACCAAAUCAUCAAAAUCAGCUUAAUCAAGAUUCCGAGCAAGCAAUUUAACAAGUCAGAGCAAACAAUUAAAAUAUCACCAGCAUAUAUAAACACUUCAGCAGCCAAGACAUGGAACACAGCCACAUAUUCUUGUAUAAAGCACAUGGAUUCAAGGCAUAGACUCAACCAGCAGCCAAUCUCACCAAACAGAUCUCACCACAACCAUAUACAAUAAUUACGAAAUAUGUAUAUGCAUGAAAAUAUAGAGCGUCUUAGGCCGUUAGAGCCCCUCACCAGGUCCAAGGCAUUGAAACUCUUGGAUCCUUACCUAAACCCAGUGAAUCAGUUUAGAUGGAGGUUCUGAAAUCUUGACUCAGCCUCCUGGAGAGAUGAUUUGUGCGCUCAUCAGGACACCAAAAACUCGACAUCAGCUUGAGAUCGAGUUAGGGUAUUCAAACCCUUACUCUCAAAUGCGAUUAGAUCGCCCUCAAAACUGAUGCGAGGCAUCGCCGAGCCAUGACAUGCCAAAAAUCAGACCCCUUUGCUCAUCGCAGACUAAGGUUUCAAAACCCCUAAUUGAGUCAUCUGCAACAUAGAGGGUUAGACGAAAAACAAAUUCAAAUCUACUCUUAUUCUUGGCGAAACACAUCAGACCACUCGAGUUCGAGUUGGGGUAUGAGAAACCCUAACUCUCAAAAGCGAUUUAACGCACUCGAGGGGUGCACAGAGUCUCGAUUCAACUGAAUGGGUACGAAACACAACAUCGUUGCCUUAGGGUUUAGAAACCCUAACAUCAAGAACCUGCAAAAACAAUGAAAUUAGUUCAACUAAACUCCGUAGCCUCCGAUUCAGCACAUCCUGCACAAAAGGGCUCGAAAAGUCGUUAGUUUCGACUUAAAGUUCAAAAACCCUAAAAUCAGGGUUUCGUGAAAUCAACAACCGAGAUAUAUAUAUAUAUGUAUACAGAUGUCUGGCUUCGAUUAAUCUCGCCGAAAAUGAUGAUUUCGACAAGAGUAUGUAUCGAAAACCAAUCGAUUUUACCCAAUCCAUCAAGAACACAAAGAGUUUAAAUCAAAAACUCGAGAUAAAAACUCAAGAAAGAUGAAGUGUAGAUGCUUGAUUUUGUAAAAGAGAUUUAAAAGGGACGAAGGCAAUCGCCGGAGUAAGAGAGGCGAGAUGUUUCGAGAGAGAGGCGGAGAGAAACAUAGGAGAGGCUAG
rnacentral:lncRNA from 1 species